GGGAUGGGAGCGGGAGAGGCGAGCGAAACGUGACGGGACUCGACCGGGAUUCCUUAGAUUUCAGUUCUGCUGUCGGUGCAGGUGCAGACACCGUUUCCGAAAAACCUGGAGCAAAAACAAAGAAACUUACGGCAAAAAAUCCAGAUGAUCAAGGCAGAUCUUCAGCAGCUGAGAGAAGAAGUGAAGACUCAUAAGUGAGGAUCCCAGUUCACUUCCAGUCCCACUGAAGCUUGCAGCACGCUGCACAGAAGGCAGUAGAGGAACUUUACUGAACCGAUGCGUCUAAUGGAGAGAAGCCGAUCUGAGGUCACACAGCUGAUCAGAGAUCAUGAAAAAGCUGCAGUGAGCCAAGCUGAAGAAAACAUGAAGGAAUUGGAGCAGGAGAUUGAUGAUCUGAAGAGGAGAGACACUGAACUGGAGAAGCUCUCGCACACAGAGGAUCUCAUCGAUUCCCUGCUGAGUUUCCGUGGGGGGCCUGUAAUACCACCUUUGUAUUUGUGUGAAUUCUCUUCUCAUCUCUUCUCUUCCCUUAUGAUGAUAUAAUUAAAGCAGUUUCUUUGCUAAAAGAAAAACUCGAAGGUUUCUACAAAGAGGAGAUAGUAAAGAUAGAAAAGCUUUCUGGUACAGGUAAAACACUGGAGCCAGAGCCUCAAUCGACGUCAGUCCAGGUGGGUGAGCCAACUGUUAGACACACGAUGGUCAAAGUGUCAGUAGUGAGCAAGGGCACAAAGAAAUGCCCCACCCACUGCACCACCACUGAGGGUGAGCUGAAGCAGGACUUGGGAGAUUUAAUACUUUUAUGCUGAGGUUUUUCUGUCAUCUGCCCUGUCAUGACCACAGAGGUUACAUUUACAUUACAUUUACAUUACAUACAGGUUGUGAGUGAACUGUCUGUGUAUAUUGAAGACAAUAUGUCCCUCAUUAGCAACCCUACUUAAUCAAAUCUGUUCAUUCUGUCUUUGUCCGGCAUUCUGUGUCUGUUCGUUCGUUCGUGAUUCCGCCCUCUCUGGAGAUAACCUGUCAUGGAAU